CAGAAACCUUCACUAAACUAAGGACUAUUUCCAAAAAAU
rnacentral:snRNA from 1 species